GACGAACGCUGGCGGCGUGCUUAACACAUGCAAGUCGAACGAUGAACUCCAGCUUGCUGGGGGGAUUAGUGGCGAACGGGUGAGUAACACGUGAGUAACCUGCCCUGGACUCUGGGAUAACCCCGAGAAAUCGGAGCUAAUACCGGAUAGGACCUUGGACCGCAUGGUUUGGGGUGGAAAGUUUUUCGGUCUGGGAUGGA
rnacentral:rRNA from 1 species